rnacentral:rRNA from 1 species
UGUAAGCUCUUUUGUAGGGGAAGAUAAUGACUGUACCCUAAGAAUAAGGUCCGGCUAACUUCGUGCCAGCAGCCGCGGUAAUACGAAGGGACCUAGCGUAGUUCGGAAUUACUGGGCGUAAAGCGCUCGUAGGCCGUUGAGUUAGUUAAUUGUGAAAUCCCAAAGCUUAACUUUGGAACUGCAAUUAAAACUGCUCGACUAGAGUUUGAUAGAGGAAAGCGGAAUACAUAGUGUAGAGGUGAAAUUCGUAGAUAUUAUGUAGAACACCAGUUGCGAAGGCGGCUUUCUGGGUCAACACUGACGCUGAGGCGCGAAAGUAUGGGUAGCAAAGAGGAUUAGAUACCCUCGUAGUCCAUACCAUAAACGAUGAUUGCUAGAUGUUGGAAAUUUAUUUUCAGUAUCGCAGCUAACGCAUUAAGCAAUCCGACUGGGGAGUACGACCGCAAGGUUAACACUCAAAUGAAUUGACGGGGACCCGCACAAGCGGUGGAACAAUGUGAGUUAAUUCGAAGAUACGCGCAGAAGCUUACCAAACCUUGACAUGUCUGUCGCGAGUUUA